GCUUUAGAAGCAAAAUUUGCGUCGGUUUUGUAACCCGGAGGUUGAUGUCAAUCCAAAGCC
rnacentral:tRNA from 1 species